CAAGUCCUUCCAAACCAAAGUCUAGCCAGCAGGUUAGUAGUGAAGCCCGGGUGCGAUACUGGUAACAGUGUGUGCGGAGCAAGGGUGAAACGAGAGUAUAGGCUGUCUACUGAGCCCCGAAAUAUUGUAUAGUUGUGGACAUUUGGAUAACCAUUGAAAAAUGUGAAAGCUGACGGCUUCUAGUGGUCGGAAGGCAGCAGCCCC
rfam:Candidatus Scalindua brodae SCABRO_contig000188, whole genome shotgun sequence.